AAGGAGGAGAAAGGAGGAAGGACAGUGAGAGGGACUGUACUCUGAGCACAAGGCCAGGGGAAACAGAAUUUGAUGGAGGUACCCUGUGGAGGUGGAUAAUGCAGCCACAGUCGGGAAGUCUCCUGGAGCAGUCUGGACAUCAUGGACAUUGAUACUGCUCCUCCUGCAUCCUACUCAGAGUUGUCUAAAGGCCAGGGCAAUGCCUCUGCCAUCAGACUGGAAGUUCCCACGAUCAAGGACAACUUCAGAAUCACCUAAGCUAUAUCCUGUCUGAUCUUUUAGCUCCCCGUGCCACCAAGGACAUGUGUACUUUCAUCCCUCUCUGCAGAGACCACAAUGGCCAAUUUGACCACGAGGGAGCUG